GUGUCAGCCGCCGCGGUAAUACAGGGGGCGCGAGCGUUGCUCGGAAUUACUGGGCGUAAAGCGUACGCAGGCGGACUGUUAAGUCGGGUGUGAAAGCCCGGGGCUCAACCCCGGAAUUGCAUUCGAAACUGGCAGUCUUGAGUACGGAAGAGGGGAGUGGAAUUCCUGGUGUAGAGGUGAAAUUCGUAGAUAUCAGGAGGAACACCGGUGGCGAAAGCGGCUCCCUGGUCCGAUACUGACGCUCAUGUACGAAAGCGUGGGGAGCAAACAGGAUUAGAUACCCCGGUAGUCC
rnacentral:rRNA from 1 species